rnacentral:rRNA from 1 species
GACAGAGGCCUCAAGCGUUAGGCGGAAUCACUGGGCUUAAAGCGUGUGUAGGCGGAUCGUUAAGUGUCUUGUGAAAUCCCACGGCUCACCCGUGGAACUGCUGGGCAUACUGGCGAUCUUGGGCCAACUAGGGGCAACUGGAACAAGCGGUGGAGCGGUGAAAUGCGUAGAUAUCGCUUGGAACGCCAAAGGUGAAAACAGGUUGCUGGGGUUGUGCCGACGCUGAGACACGAAAGCCAGGGGAGCAAAACGGG